ensembl:miRNA
UGCUUUCUUUAGAAUUUAUCAUGUCAUAUAAAGUUGCUAAACUCUUCAGGGGGCUUU